UACAGAGGCCACAAGCGUUAGCCGGAAUCACUGGGCUUAAAGCGUGUGUAGGCGGGAUGGUAAGUACCUUGUGAAAUCCCACAGCUUAACUGUGGAAAUGCUUGGUAUACUGCCGUUCUUGAGUCACCUAGGGGCAGCUGGAACAGAUGGUGGAGCGGUGAAAUGCAUAGAUAUCAUCUGGAACGCCAAUGGUGCAGACAAGCUGCUGGGGGUGUACUGACGCUGAGGCACGAAAGCCAGGGGAGCAAACGGG
rnacentral:rRNA from 1 species